GGGCCUCUAGCUCAGUUGGUAGAGCCGCGGACUUUUAAUCCGUAGGUCGUGGGUUCGAGCCCCACGGGGCCCA
rnacentral:tRNA from 2 species